rnacentral:rRNA from 1 species
AUACGGAGGAUCCGAGCGUUAUCCGGAUUUAUUGGGUUUAAAGGGUGCGUAGGCGGCCUUUUAAGUCAGCGGUGAAAGUCUGUGGCUCAACCAUAGAAUUGCCGUUGAAACUGGGAGGCUUGAGUAUGUUUGAGGCAGGCGGAAUGCGGGGGGUAGCGGUGAAAUGCUUAGAAAUCACGCAGAACCCCGAUUGCGAGGGCAGCCGGCCAAGCCAUGACUGACGCUGAUGCACGAAAGCGUGGGGAUCAAACAGGAUUAGAUACCCUGGUAGUCCACGCAGUAAACGAUGAUCACUAGCUGUUUGCGAUACACUGUAAGCGGCACAGCGAAAGCGUUAAGUGAUCCACCUGGGGAGUACGCCGGCAACGGUGAAACUCAAAGGAAUUGACGGGG